rnacentral:lncRNA from 1 species
UGUACCGCCCUGGUAGUCGGAAGUGAUGACGUGGCAUCCAGCUACAGUAUAGGCGUGUUGACAAGGCGCCAGGUUGGCAGAGGGGAAGGAAGUCGGGGGGCUCGUGAAGUCGCCAGUUAUUAAGUUGGCGUGUUCCGAUCUCCAGCAUACCAGAGCCGGCGAUCACCGGGUUAAAUAUGAAGUCGCCAGAUGUAAACUCAGGCGACCAAAUGAUUGGAGAUCGCCAGAGCAAGCACAUCGCCAGAGAUGAAGGUGGUGCAGAUUAUGAAGGCGGCCGGCGAGACCACAGGGAAGGUGUACGAAGGCACCCUAACUCGCCAGUUCCAGUAGAGAUCGCACUCCCAAGUUAGCUAUGCACUGGGCAGUACCAUGCAUAAGUAACUUAGCCAAAAAGAAAGUCAGAAGCAGCGCCCAAGUCAAGGAGGCUCCAGAUGAUGGCACGUGUACGACUGGAUGCGAGCCACGUGUCCAAGUCUGGAACUGCCAGGAGAGAGAAAGUAACCAGGUAUUUAAGGGUUCCCCAACGAACUUUUG